CCUACGGUGGGCAGCAGUGAGGAAUAUUGGUCACUGGACGAGAGUCUGACGCAGCAACGCCGCGUGAUCGAGACGCCCUUCGGGGUGUAAAGAUCUGUCAGUUGGGACGAAACUUGACGGUACCCACAGAGUAAGCACCGGCUAACUCCGUGCCAGCAGCCGCGGUAAUACGGGGGGUGCAAGCGUUGUCCGGAAUCAUUGGGCGUAAAGAGUUCGUAGGCGGCACGUAAAGUCUGGUGUUAACGGGAGAGGCUCAACUUCUGUACGGCACUGGAUACUUGCGAGCUAGAAUGCGGUAGAGGUAAAGGGAAUUCCUGGUGUAGCGGUGAAAUGCUGAGAUAUCAGGAGGAACAUCGGUGGCGUAAGCGCUUUACUGGGCCGUAAUUGACGCUGAGGAACGAAAGCCAGGGUAGCAAAUGGGAUUAGAUACCCUUGUAGUC
rnacentral:rRNA from 1 species